rnacentral:rRNA from 1 species
AAAACGACUCUCGGCAACGGAUAUCUCGGCUCCCGCAUCGAUGAAGAACGNAGCGAAAUGCGAUACUUGGUGUGAAUUGCAGAAUCCCGUGAACCAUCGAGUCUUUGAACGCAAGUUGCGCCCGAAGCCGUCAGGCCGAGGGCACGUCUGCCUGGGCGUCACGC